GAUGAACGCUGUCGGCGUGCCUAAUACAUGCAAGUCGAGCGAACGGACGAGAAGCUUGCUUCUCUGAUGUUAGCGGCGGACGGGUGAGUAACACGUGGAUAACCUACCUAUAAGACUGGGAUAACUUCGGGAAACCGUAGCUAAUACCGGAUAAUAUUUUGAACCGCAUGGUUCAAAAGUGAAAGACGGUCUUGCUGUCACUUAUAGAUGGAUCCGCGCUGCAUUAGCUAGUUGGUAAGGUAACGGCUUACCAAGGCAACGAUGCAUAGCCGACCUGAGAGGGUGAUCGGCCACACUGGAACUGAGACACGGUCCAGACUCCUACGGGAGGCAGCAGUAGGGAAUCUUCCGCAAUGGGCGAAAGCCUGACGGAGCAACGCCGCGUGAGUGAUGAAGGUCUUCGGAUCGUAAAACUCUGUUAUUAGGGAAGAACAUAUGUGUAAGUAACUGUGCACAUCUUGACGGUACCUAAUCAGAAAGCCACGGCUAACUACGUG
rnacentral:rRNA from 1 species